rnacentral:rRNA from 1 species
UACAGAGGGUGCGAGCGUUAAUCGGAAUUACUGGGCGUAAAGCGCGCGUAGGCGGCUUUGCAAGUCGGGUGUGAAAUCCCCAGGCUUAACCUGGGAACUGCAUUCGAGACUGCAUUGCUAGAGUAUGGGAGAGGGAAGUGGAAUUUCCGGUGUAGCGGUGAAAUGCGUAGAUAUCGGAAGAACACCGGAGGCGAAGGCGGCUUGCUGGACCUGGUCUGACGCUGAGGCGCGAAAGCGUGGGGAGCGAACAGG